UACGUAGGGGGCAAGCGUUGUCCGGAUUUACUGGGCGUAAAGGGCGCGUAGGCGGCAAUUCAAGUCAUCUGUGAAAUCUCCGGGCUUAACUCGGAACGGUCAGAUGAUACUGCUUUGCUCGAGUGCGGAAGGGGCAAUCGGAAUUCUUGGUGUAGCGGUGAAAUGCGUAGAUAUCAAGAGGAACACCUGAGGUGAAGACGGGUUGCUGGGCCGACACUGACGCUGAAGCGCGAAAGCCAGGGGAGCAAACGGG
rnacentral:rRNA from 1 species